AGGGCACCACCAGGAGUGGAGCCUGCGGCUUAAUUUGACUCAACACGGGAAAACUUACCCGGCCCGGACACUGGGAGGAUUGACAGAUUGAGAGCUCCUUCUUGAUUCAGUGGGUGGUGGUGCAUGGCCGUUCUUAGUUGGUGGAGCGAUUUGUCUGGUUAAUUCCGAUAACGAACGAGGCUCUAGCCUACUAAAUAGACUGUCAACUCUUAUGCGUUGACAGGACUUCUUAGAGGGACAGGCGGCGAUUCAGCCGCACGAAACAGAGCAAUAACAGGUCUGUGAUGCCCUUAGAUGUCCGGGGCCGCACGCGCGCUACACUGAAGUGAUCAGCAUGCGUUCAAAACCUGCUCUGACAAGAGUGGGGAACCGAUGAACCUUCUUCGUGAUAGGGAUUGGGCAUUGUAAUUAUUGCCCAUGAACGAGGAAUUCCCAGUAAGCGUGAGUCAUAAGCUCGCGUUGAUUACGUCCCUGCCCUUUGUACACACCGCCCGUCGCUACUACCGAUUGAAUGAUUUA
rnacentral:rRNA from 1 species